rnacentral:rRNA from 1 species
CCUACGGGAGACAGCAGUGGGGGAUAUUGCACAAUGGGGGAAACCCUGAUGCAGCGACGCCGCGUGUGGGAAGACGGUCUUCGGAUUGUAAACCCCUGUCAUGUGGGAGCAAAUUAAAAAGAUAGUACCACAAGAGGAAGAGACGGCUAACUCUGUGCCAGCAGCCGCGGUAAUACAGAGGUCUCAAGCGUUGUUCGGAAUCACUGGGCGUAAAGCGUGCGUAGGCUGUUUGGUAAGUCGUGUGUGAAAGCCGGAGGCUCAACCCGCGGACGGCACAUGAUACUGCGCGAAUAGAGUGUAGGUGCGGGAGGCGGAAUGUGUGGUGUAGCGGGGAAAGGGUAAGAGAU